GUAGUCAUAUGCUUGUCUCAAAGAUUAAGCCAUGCAUGUCUAAGUAUAAGCAACUUGUACAGUGAAACUGCGAAUGGCUCAUUAAAUCAGUUAUCGUUUAUUUGAUAAUCCCUUACUACAUGGAUACCUGUGGUAAUUCUAGAGCUAAUACAUGCUUCAAGGAGUGGCUUUCGUCACUCUGCACUUAUUAGAUAAAAAACCAAUGCCCCUUUGGGGCUCCCUGGUGAUUCAUAAUAAUUUAGCGGACCGCAUUCCCUCGAGGAGGCGGUGGAUCAUUCAAAUUUCUGCCCUAUCAACUUUCGAUGGUAGGAUAGUGGCCUACCAUGGUUUCAACGGGUAACGGGGAAU
rnacentral:rRNA from 1 species